rnacentral:rRNA from 1 species
GACGAACGCUGGCGGCGUGCUUAACACAUGCAAGUCGAACGGCAAGGCCCUUCGGGGUACACGAGUGGCGAACGGGUGAGUAACACGUGGGUGAUCUGCCCUGCACUUUGGGAUAAGCCUGGAAAACUGGGUCUAAUACCGGAUAGGACCACGGCCUUCAUGGGUUGUGGUGGAAAGCUUUUGUGGUGUGGGAUGGGCCCGCGGCCUAUCAGCUUGUUGGUGGGGUAAUGGCCUACCAAGGCGACGACGGGUAGCCGGCCUGAGAGGGUGUCCGGCCACACUGGGACUGAGAUACGGCCCAGACUCCUACGGGAGGCAGCAGUGGGGAAUAUUGCACAAUGGGCGCAAGCCUGAUGCAGCGACGCCGCGUGAGGGAUGACGGCCUUCGGGUUGUAAACCUCUUUCAGUAGGGACGAAGCGCAAGUGACGGUACCUAUAGAAGAAGCACCGGCCAACUACGUGCCAGCCGCCGCCGUAA